rnacentral:lncRNA from 1 species
CCUGGGAAUAGGGGAAGCUUGAAACUUUGAGGGACAAUUGUAAUUCUUAAUUCUUUGUGGGAUAUGGUUAUUCUUUUGACUUUGAUGUGGCAAUGAUUAUACAAUGUCUUAUCUACCUGCUUUUAGAUUGUCAAUAAAAGACUGAGGCAAAAGAAAGGCUGGAGAGCAAAUGAGAGAGCGAAUGAGAGAGCAAAUGUGAAAGUGAGUGAAGGAGAGAACGAGGGAACAAAUGAGGCAGCGAGUGGGGGCAUGAGAAGAACAUGUGAAGAGUGAGUGAGAGAGAAUGUGAGGUGUGUAUGAAGAGUAUGUGUGUGAGUGAAAGGAGAGUACAUGUGAUGUGUGUGAGGUGUGUAUGAAGAGUGUGUGUGAGAAUGAAAGGGUAAUGAGGUGUGCAUGAGUUUGGGAGUUUGAGAAAAGGAAAGCACAAUGGAGAAAAGCAGAGUGUGAGAGAGAAUGCAGAGUGCAGAGUGUAUGCAGCUUCAAGCUGAAAAAGAGAGAGAGAGAGAGAGAGAGAGAGAAGAAGAAGAAGGAGGAGGAGGAGGAGGAGGAGGAGGAGGAGAAAACUUUAAGCCUUGAAAUUGCCUGUCAGUUUGUACCCCAAGAGUAGUCUGUGUAUAUUUAUUAUGCGCCUUCCCCAUGUCCCUGCUUCCAGUUGAGAACUCUGAUCCUGUGUCGAGAAUGGACCCCAGCAAUGCUAGAAGAUGCAGCAGCCUACAAUUGGUUCUCACCAGAAUUUAUGGCUCGAGAAGGAAACUGCUUCACAUUAUUGAGGUUAUGUCCGAGUCUGCCCUUUCUCAUGCCUGACACCUCAGAAUGGUGGAGGAGACAGACGGGAUCCAGCAUCCCGGACUUGUCAAAACCACUUUUCUCAUCAGUAACCCUGCUGGCUCAGCCAAGGGUGAGCCAUGUUACCUUGAAGUAG